GAUGAACGCUGGCGGCGUGCUUAACACAUGCAAGUCGAGCGGAAAGGCCCUGCUUGCAGGGUACUCGAGUGGCGAACGGGUGAGUAACACGUGGGUGAUCUGCCCUGCACUUCGGGUUAAGCCUGGGAAACGGGGCCUAAUACCGGCUAGGAGCCAUCUUUAGUGUGGUGGUUGGACAGAUUUUUCGGUGUCGGAUGAGCUCGCGGCCUAUCAGCUUGUUGGUGGGGUAAUGGCCUACCAAGGCGGCGACGGGUAGCCGGACUGUGAGGGUGGACGGCCAUCCUGGGACUUACAGACGGCCCAGGCGCCGAAUGUUGGCAGCCGUGGGGAAGCUUGCACAAUCGACGCGAGCCUGAUGCAGCAAGCCCGCGGAGUGUAUAACGCCCUACGGGUUGGAGACUCGUUUCGCUAGGAACGCAGCUUUUUUUGACGGUACCUAGAUAAGAAGCACCGGCUAACUACGUG
rnacentral:rRNA from 1 species